rnacentral:sRNA from 21 species
GUCAGGAACCCCACGGCUGUAAGCCAGGGGCUUGAAAAAAGCCCAAACCUGACCAGCCUA